GGAGGAAAAGAAACCAACAGGGAUUCCGUGAGUAACGGCGAGCGAAAAGGGAUGAGCCCAGCGCCGAAUCCCACCCUCGACGGGGGUCGGGAAAUGUGGCGUUUAGGAGUGAGCGCGCCGACGGUCGCCCGAGCAGCAAGUCCCCCUGACCGGGGCUGUUACCCAGAGUGGGUGCGAGGCCCAUAGCUGCUCGGGCUCUGCCGGACGCGAUCUCCUUGGAGUCGGGUUGCUUGGGAGUGCAACCCUAAGCGGGUGGUAAACUCCACCUAAGGCUAAAUACUGCCGUGAGACCGAUAGCAAACAAGUACCGUGAGGGAAAGUUGCAAAGAACUUUGAAGAGAGAGUUCAAGAGUACGUGAAACUGCUUAGAGGCAAACGGGUGGGCCCUCGAAAUCCUGUGGCGGGAGGAUUCAGCCGGGCGUUGCGGGCUCCGUUCCGCGGGACUACAGACAGAAAGGCGCUCUCUACGGGGCCGGUCCCGCGCGGUGCACCUGUGGCGCCCGACGCAUUUGUUUCCCGUCCGAAGGACGCCGCGACCGGUUGGGAGUUACGGCCUUAAGGGCGGGAGCGGCAGGUGGCCGGUGGCUUCCCCCGUGGUUGUCGCCGGAUGCUAGCCAUUCCGUCGCACGGCACGUGUCCCGACCGUGGUGUCACGAGGCCCCUCUGGGCCUGCACGCCUCCUCCUGAACCUCCAAGUUUGGGAAGUCGGAUGGUACGGUGGCAGCGGUUUCUCCUACUGCCCGGCGGCCGCACGGAACGAUCCGUGGGCCUGCUGGCGGGAGUCCGCGUUGGCUGCCGCGAGUCCGUUGGAGUUGUUGGCGGUUUGCGGCGAGUAGAUCGGUCACCCACCCGACCCGUCUUGAAACACGGACCAAGGAGUCUAACAUGUGUGCGAGUCAAUGGGUCUCGUAUAAGCCCAGGGGCGCAAUGAAAGCAAAGGCCGGACCAGUGCCGGCCGUGUUGGGAUCCCCGGCCCUCGGAGGUCGGGGCGCACCAACGACCCGUCCUGUGCCCUUACGUGGCUUGGGCGGAGUCCGAGCAUACACGUUGGGACCCGAAAGAUGGUGAACUAUGCCCGGGCAGGACGAAGCCAGAGGAAACUCUGGUGGAGGUCCGUAGCGGUUCUGACGUGCAAAUCGAUCGUCAGAUCCGGGUCUAGGGGCGAAAGACUAAUCGAACCAUCUAGUAGCUGGUUCCCUCCGAAGUUUCCCUCAGGAUAGCUGGCGCUCGUCGAAUUCAGUCUCAUCCGGUAAAGCGAAUGAUUAGAGGCCUUGGGGCCGAAACGACCUCAACCUAUUCUCAAACUUUAAAUGGGUGAGAAGUCCGCCUUUCUCGACUGAAGGCCGGACAUUAUCAUGGAUGAGAGUGCCCAGUGGGCCACUUUUGGUAAGCAGAACUGGCGCUGUGGGAUGAACCAAACGACGGGUUACGGUGUCCGAUGCGAGACGCUCAUGAGACCCCAUGAAAGGUGUUGGUUGCUCUAGACAGCAGGACGGUGGCCAUGGAAGUCGGAAUCCGCUAAGGAGUGUGUAACAACUCACCUGCCGAAGCAACUAGCCCUGAAAAUGGAUGACGCUCCAGCGUCGAACCCAUACCCGUCCGCUCCGGCAGAGCUCCCGUCUAAGAGGAGGCCUACGCCGGAGUGAGUAGGAGGGUCGCGACGGCGAGCGUUGAAGGUGCCGGGCGUGAGCCCGCCUGGAGCCGCCGUCGGUGCAGAUCUUGGUGGUAGUAGCAAAUACUCAAGUGAGAACCUUGAGGACUGAAGGUGGAGAAGGGUUCCAUGUGAACAGCAGUUGAACAUGGGUCAGUCGGCCCUAAGGGAUCGGAGAAAUCCGUUCCGAAGCGGGACACUGGGAAAACGGAGAGCAACUCCGCGAGAGCUCGUCCCGCUGCCGACCGAAAGGGAAUGGGGUCAAUAUUCCCCAACCCGGACACGGAGAUAGAGCCCUCGGGCUCAAGUGCGGCGACGCAACCGAACUCGGAGACGUCGGCGGAGGACCCGGGGAAGAGUUGUCUUUUCUUUGUAAGAGUUCGUGUCCCUGGAAUCGGCUCGUCCGGAGAUAGGGACGCUGUCCUCGUAAAAGCACCGCGGCUCUUGCGGUGUCCGGUGCGCCUCUGCCGGCCCUUGCAAAUCCGAGGGAGAGAGUGUGAUUUUCGUGCCGGUCCGUACCCAUAUCCGCAGCAUGUCUCCAAGGUGAACAGCCUCUAGUCGAUA
rnacentral:rRNA from 1 species